UACGGAGGGUGCGAGCGUUGUCCGGAAUCAUUGGGCGUAAAGGGCGCGUAGGCGGCGGGACAAGCGGGCGGUGAAAGCCUGGGGCUCAACCCCGGGUCGGCCGUGCGAACUGUUUUGCUUGAGCACUGUAGAGGCAGGCGGAAUUCCGGGUGUAGCGGUGGAAUGCGUAGAGAUCCGGAAGAACACCGGUGGCGAAGGCGGCCUGCUGGGCAGUAGCUGACGCUGAGGCGCGACAGCGUGGGGAGCAAACAGG
rnacentral:rRNA from 1 species